CAGCAGCCGCGGGAAUACGAAGGGGGCUAGCGUUGCCCGGAAUGACUGGGCGUAAAGGGCGCGUAGGCGGUUUUGACAGUCAGAUGUGAAAUUCCUGGGCUUAACCUGGGGGCUGCAUUUGAGACGUCAAGACUAGAGUGUGAGAGAGGGUUGUGGAAUUCCCAGUGUAGAGGUGAAAUUCGUAGAUAUUGGGAAGAACACCGGUGGCGAGGCGGCAACCUGGCUCAUUACUGACGCUGAGGCGCGAAAGCGUGGGGAGCAAACAGGAUUAGAUACCCCUGUAGUCCCUGUCUCUUAUACC
rnacentral:rRNA from 1 species